rnacentral:lncRNA from 1 species
GUGGUCCGCGCCGCCGCGGGGCCGGGCGGACCGGGCGGGUCCCCGCCGUCAUUGUCUGCGCUCUAGCCGGCUGCGGCCAGGGACGGCGGGCCCCGCUGAGGCGCAAAGGACGGAAGGGCGUCGCCUCAUGGCCGGGGGCUUCUGCACCCUAGGCCCGUGGCGGGCGGUACUGUGAGGCGGGUCGGGGACUUCGGGUACGCUGGCGAGGCGGC